ncrna:unclassified sequences drum RNA
UGACGUGGAAGCGGCGAGCUGUUUCGGGAUGCAGUUUUCCGUGGAGUCUGACCGAGGGUUAUGUGUUACCUCAACCCGAAUAGGCACUUGCCGAAAGAAAACACUUGAU